UACGAAGGGGGCUAGCGUUGUUCGGAAUUACUGGGCGUAAAGCGCACGUAGGCGGAUAUUUAAGUCAGGGGUGAAAUCCCAGAGCUCAACCCCGGAAUGGCCUUCGAGACUGGUGGUCUUGAGUUCGAGAGAGGUGAGUGGAAUUCCGAGUGUAGAGGUGAAAUUCGUAGAUAUUCGGAGGAACACCAGUGGCGAAGGCGGCUCACUGGCUCGACACUGACGCUGAGGUGCGAAAGCGUGGGGAGCAAACAGG
rnacentral:rRNA from 1 species